rnacentral:rRNA from 1 species
UAGAGGAAGUAAAAGUCGUAACAAGGUUUCCGUAGGUGAACCUGCGGAAGGAUCAUUAAUGAUUGCGAAUGGUUGCCUUCGGUGCUGGCUCUUGCAAGUGCACGUUGGUGGCUUUCAUCCAAUACCCCUGUGAACCUUUGGCCUCUUGCUAGCUUCGGCGUGCAGAGGAUUUUUACACACUCGAAUGUAAUGAAAACUAUUGUCGUGCGCAAGCACUAAUGUACAACUUUCAACAACGGAUCUCUUGGCUCUCGCAUCGAUGAAGAACGCAGCGAAAUGCGAUAAGUAAUGUGAAUUGCAGAAUUCAGUGAAUCAUCGAAUCUUUGAACGCACCUUGCACCCUUUGGUAUUCCGAAGGGUAUGCUCGUUUGAGUGUCAUUGUACUCUCACACUCUCUGAUCCUUUGGAUUCAGGGAGUGGUGGACUUGGGUGUUUGCUGCUUUCCGGUGGCUCACCUCAAAUGCGUUAGUGCACCUCUUGGUUGGACAUAGUACGGCGUGAUAAGUAUCUUCGCCGGCACCUCGCAAGAGGGUGGCCGAUUGGGAGCUCUGUGCUUUCAAACCGUCUUCGGACAAUCUUGACAACUUGACCUCAAAUCGAGUAGGACUACCCGCUGAACUUAAGCAUAUA